AAACUAUGAUGGGGCAUCACCAUAGGAGGUCCUUGAACCUCUCAUGAGCUUCAAAAAGUGUUUCCGAGUCCCUUUGGAAAAAUACUGAAAUCUCUUGCCUCAAUCU